AAAAAAUAAGUUUUAUUUAAUCAAGUAGUCUAAUCACCCCCUCUAAAUAUAUUUUCGAUCCUACAACUAACUAAACCACCUUUAAAGUCUCAGAUCUAGCCACGCAGAUCUGCGGAUCACCCACAACAGCAUUGCCACCACGGGAGCCCUGAUGCACCGGCCACCGACAGAGUGCACCACUACUGGAGCCUGGAGGAGGUCCGCCAUCCCACCUUGCCAUAGCCGUCGGGAAAGAUCCCGCUCCCGCUGGUCACCGUCGCUGAUCUGAUCCAAUCUGGAGCCAAACCACCAGAUCGCUGGCGCAAUUCUGCCUUGAUCAGGGGCACCACCACGCCCUGCCACCGCAGGCCGCCUGAGCUUCAACCACCGCCACCGACCAGGGCUACCACCCCAAGAUCCAGGUCGGACAUCGUCGCCGCCAUCGGCCACACCCAACCCCACCCCCAUCC
rnacentral:rRNA from 1 species